AGAGUUUGAUCCUGGCUCAGGAUGAACGCUAGCUACAGGCUUAACACAUGCAAGUCGAGGGGAAACGACAUCGAAAGCUUGCUUUUGAUGGGCGUCGACCGGCGCACGGGUGAGUAACGCGUAUCCAACCUGCCCACCACUUGGGGAUAACCUUGCGAAAGUAAGACUAAUACCCAAUGACGUCUCUAGAAGACAUCUGAAAGAGAUUAAAGAUUUAUCGGUGAUGGAUGGGGAUGCGUCUGAUUAGCUUGUUGGCGGGGUUAACGGGCCACCGAAGGCGACGAUCAGUAGGGGUUCUGAGAGGAAGGUCCCCACAUUGGAACUGAGACACGGUCAAAACUCCUACGGAGGCA
rnacentral:rRNA from 1 species